rnacentral:lncRNA from 1 species
GAGCCCAGGCAGCGCCUUCGCGGAGUUGCCGGAGGGUGCGGCCGCCCAGAGCGCACCCCGAGCGCCGGCGAGCGGCGCGGUGAGACCCUCGUGCAGUAGAGACGGAGUUUCACCAUGUUGGCCAGGAUGGUCUUCAACUUCUAACUUCGUGAUCCACGCUGCUGGGAUUACAGGUGUGAGCCACCGCGUGUGGCCUCUGGGCACCUUUUGAAGGUGGUUUCACCCCAACAUCAGCAGGGUGGAGGCGGAGAAGCUGUUCCUAUCCAGAGGUCAGCGUGGGGACUUCCUUGCCAGGCCCAGUGAGAGCAGCCCGGGGGGCUUCACGCUGUCCGUCAGGUGGUACCACGGGCGCCUGUCUGGCAAGGAGGCUGAGAAGCUGCUGCUGCAGAAGGGGCAUCCGGGCAGCUUCCUGGUGCACAUGAGUCAGAGCGAUCCUGGGGGCUUCCCGCUGUCAGCGCUGACGCAAGGGUGGGACGAGGCGCAGGGCUCAGGCCGCCAGCCACAGGUCACGCACAUCAUGACUCACUCCCAGGUAGCUGAAGCAGAGAGAGAAGGCGGCAGGCAUCAGCGUUUUCUUCUAUGAACUUAUAAGAUCAAAGACUUUAAGACUUUCACUAUUUCUUCUACCGCUAUCUACUACGAACUUCAAAGAGGAACCAGGAGUACGGAAGGAGCAUGAAAGUGGACAAGGAACGUGACCAUUGAAGCACCACAGGGAGGGGUUCAGGCCUCCGGAUGACUGCAGGCAGGCCUGGGUAACAUCCAGCCUCCCACAAGAAGCUGGUGGAGCAGAGCGUUCCCUGACUCCUCCAAGGAAAGGAGACUCCCUUUCCCGGUCUGCUCAGUAACGGGUGCCUUCCCAGACACUGGCGUUACCGCUUGACCAAGGGGCCCUCAAGCGGCCCUUAUGCGGGCAUGACAGAAGGCUCCCCUCUUGCCUUCUAUUCACUUCUCACAAUGUCCCUUCAGCACCUGACCCUAUACCUGCCGGUUAUUCCUAGGUUAUAUUAUUAAUGCAACAGAGUAAUAUUAAAAGCUAAUGAUUAAUAAUGUUUAUAAUAAUGAUGGAUAAUUGUUCAUGAUCAUCGCUGUAUCUAAUUUGUAUUAUGACUAUUCUUAUUCUAUUUUCUUUAUUAUACUGAAACAGUUUGU